AACGAACGCUGGCGGCAUGCCUAACACAUGCAAGUCGAACGAUGCCUUCGGGCAUAGUGGCGCACGGGUGCGUAACGCGUGGGAAUCUGCCUUUCGGUUCGGAAUAACUCAGGGAAACUUGAGCUAAUACCGGAUAACGUCGCAAGACCAAAGAUUUAUCACCGAAAGAUGAGCCUGCGUAGGAUUAGCUAGUUGGUGAGGUAAAGGCUCACCAAGGCGACGAUCCUUAGCUGGUCUGAGAGGAUGAUCAGCCACACUGGGACUGAGACACGGCCCAGACUCCUACGGGAGGCAGCAGUGGGGAAUAUUGGACAAUGGGCGAAAGCCUGAUCCAGCAAUGCCGCGUGAGUGAUGAAGGCCUUAGGGUUGUAAAGCUCUUUUACCCGGGAAGAUAAUGACGGUACCGGGAGAAUAAGCCCCGGCUAACUCCGUG
rnacentral:rRNA from 1 species